rnacentral:rRNA from 1 species
UACGUAGGGGGCGAGCGUUGUCCGGAUUCAUUGGGCGUAAAGCGCGCGUAGGCGGCCCCGCAAGUCGGCCGUGAAAUCUCCGGGCUCAACUCGGAGGGGUCGGGCGAGACUGCGGGGCUCGAGGUGGGCAGAGGGCAGUGGAAUUCCGGGUGUAGCGGUGAAAUGCGCAGAUAUCAGGAGGAACACCGGUGGCGAAGGCGGGUCUCUGGGCCGAUACUGACGCUGAGGAGCGAAAGCAUGGGUAGCGAACAGG